UACGUAGGGGGCAAGCGUUGUCCGGAAUCAUUGGGCGUAAAGAGCUCGUAGGCGGUUCGGUAAGUCGGAUGUGAAAACUUUGGGCUCAACCCAAAGCGUGCAUUCGAUACUGCCGUGACUUGAGUUCGGUAGGGGAGUGGGGAAUUCCUAGUGUAGCGGUGAAAUGCGCAGAUAUUAGGAGGAACACCGGUGGCGAAGGCGCCACUCUGGGCCGAAACUGACGCUGAGGAGCGAAAGCGUGGGUAGCAAACAGG
rnacentral:rRNA from 1 species